rnacentral:rRNA from 1 species
GUGAGGAAUUUUCCGCAAUGGGCGAAAGCCUGACGGAGCAAUGCCGCGUGAAGGAUGAAGGCCUAUGGGUUGUAAACUUCUUUUCUCAGAAAAGAAUUAUGACGGUAUCUGAGGAAUAAGCAUCGGCUAACUCUGUGCCAGCAGCCGCGGUAAGACAGAGGAUGCAAGCGUUAUCCGGAAUGAUUGGGCGUAAAGCGUCUGUAGGUUGUUUAAAAAGUAUUCUGUCAAAGAUUAGGGCUUAACCCUAGAUAGGCAGAAUAAACUUUUAAGCUAGAGUUUGGUAGAGGCAGAGGGAAUUCCCGGUGGAGCGGUGAAAUGCGUAGAUAUCGGGAGGAACAACAAAGGCGAAGGCACUCUGCUGGGCCAAUACUAACACUGAGAGACGAAAGCGUGGGGAGCAAACAGGAUUAGAUACCCCGGUAGUCC